rnacentral:rRNA from 1 species
UACGAAGGGGGCUAGCGUUGUUCGGAUUUACUGGGCGUAAAGGGAGCGUAGGCGGGUUAUCAAGUUGGAGGUGAAAGCCCAGGGCUCAACCUUGGAAUUGCCUUCAAAACUGAUAGCCUAGAGUAUGAUAGAGGUAAGUGGAACUCCGAGUGUAGAGGUGAAAUUCGUAGAUAUUCGGAAGAACACCAGUGGCGAAGGCGACUUACUGGAUCAUGACUGACGCUGAGGCUCGAAAGCGUGGGGAGCAAACAGG